GGUCAUUGACCUCACCGGAGUUUUACCGUGGUUCAGGCUCCUAACGACACAAGACUUUGCUGCAAUAUGUCAUCUGACGAUGAUGAAAGGAAUAUGAUGAUAAUAACAUUGUUCAACAAAGGCUUAAAACAAAAGGAAAUCAGCUGUGCACUGAAUUCAUAUGGGCAUAAAAUAAGUGAGAGGCAUCUGAG